CCCCCCCCCCCCCCUCCUCAAAUUCCCCAUCUUUUUUUGCUACUUUCCUCUCUCUCGCUCUCCAAAUCGCUCUCCCUCUUGUAUUCACAGAGUCAUUGACAAGACAUUCAAAGCUUUUUCAAAUUGGCCAGCCUCAUUGUGGCUGUUCUAAAGUGGAGGGGGGGCUCGGCUGGAGCGAGCGGGAGUGUAAAGAGGAGUGGGCCUAAAUAUACUCCGGUCUGAACGUAGUUAGAUCAUGUUCUUUUCAUGGUCCGAUUAGAAUCAAAUCGAUCCCCCCCCCCCCUGACACUCAGAGGUCUGAAGAGGAGCAGCCGGACAAAGAUUCCUCGGUGGAGACGGAUGAAUGAACCCAACCUGCUGAAUGCUAAACACAACCUUUAAGUGAGAGAUGGAGACAGAUAUGGUUCCUCAUCUAUGGAUCAUGAACCAGGCUGAGGACCCGUCAGAAGGUACUGCUGGUUCCUCAUCUAUGGAUCAGAAACCAGCCUGAGGACCCGUCAGAAGGUACUGCUGGUUCCUCAUCAAUGGAUCAUGAACCAGCCUGAGGACCCGUCAGAAGGUACUGCUGGUUCCUCAUCUAUGGAUCAUGAACCAGGCUGAGGACCCGUCAGAAGGUACUGCUGGUUCCUCAUCUAUGGAUCAUGAACCAGGCUGAGGACCCGUCAGAAGGUACUGCUGGUUCCUCAUCUAUGGAUCAUGAACCAGCCUGAGGACGCGUCAGAAGGUACUGCUGGUUCCUCAUCUAUGGAUCAGAAACCAGCCUGAGGACCUGUCAGAAGGUACUGCUGGUUCCUCAUCGAAUGGAUCAUGAACCAGCCUGAGGACCCGUCAGAAGGUACUGCUGGUUCCUCAUCAAUGGAUCAUGAACCAGCCUGAGGACCCGUCAGAAGGUACUGCUGGUUCCUCAUCUAUGGAUCAGAAACCAGCCUGAGGACCCGUCAGAAGGUACUGCUGGUUCCUCAUCAAUGGAUCAUGAACCAGCCUGAGGACCCGUCAGAAGGUACUGCUGGUUCCUCAUCUAUGGAUCAUGAACCAGCCUGAGGACGCGUCAGAAGGUACUGC
ensembl:lncRNA